rnacentral:rRNA from 1 species
GACAGAGGGUGCAAACGUUGUUCGGAAUUACUGGGCGUAAAGCGAGUGUAGGCGGUCUGACAAGUCGGAUGUGAAAGCCCCGGGCUCAACCCGGGAAGUGCAUUCGAAACUGCCAGGCUAGAGUGUCGGAGAGGUUGGUGGAAUUCUCGGUGUAGAGGUGAAAUUCGUAGAUAUCGAGAGGAACACCGGUGGCGAAGGCGGCCAACUGGACGAACACUGACGCUGAGACUCGAAAGCGUGGGGAGCAAACAGG